UGCUAGCUAGCACAGGGUCUUUGAGGGUAG
rnacentral:piRNA from 1 species